rnacentral:rRNA from 1 species
GACGAACGCUGGCGGCGUGCUUAACACAUGCAAGUCGAACGGAAAGGCCUGCUUUCCCUUGUGGAUUGCGGGUACUCGAGUGGCGAACGGGUGAGUAACACGUGAGUGAUCUGCCCCCAACUUGGGUAUAAGCCUGGGAAACUGGGUCUAAUUCCCGAUAGGACUGCAGGGUGGUGCCUGUGGUGGAAAACGAUUUUCUAGUGGUUGGGGAUGAGCUCGCGGCCUAUCAGCUUGUUGGUGGGGUAAUGGCCUACCAAGGCGGCGACGGGUAGCCGGCCUGAGAGGGUGGACGGCCACAUUGGGACUGAGAUACGGCCCAGACUCCUACGGGAGGCAGCAGUGGGGAAUAUUGCCCAAUGGGCGGAAGCCUGAUGCAGCGACGCCGCGUGGGGGAUGACGGCCUUCGGGUUGUAAACUCCUUUCGACCGCGAGGAAGCCACCUGGUUGGAAGGGUGGUGACGGUAGUGGUAGAAGAAGCACCGGCUAACUACGUG